UGGUGGGUAGUUUGACUGGGGCGGUCUCCUCCUAAAGAGUAACGGAGGAGCACGAAGGUUGGCUAAUCCUGGUCGGACAUCAGGAGGUUAGUGCAAUGGCAUAAGCCAGCUUGACUGCGAGCGUGACGGCGCGAGCAGGUGCGAAAGCAGGUCAUAGUGAUCCGGUGGUUCUGAAUGGAAGGGCCAUCGCUCAACGGAUAAAAGGUACUCCGGGGAUAACAGGCUGAUACCGCCCAAGAGUUCAUAUCGACGGCGGUGUUUGGCACCUCGAUGUCGGCUCAUCACAUCCUGGGGCUGAAGUAGGUCCCAAGGGUAUGGCUGUUCGCCAUUUAAAGUGGUACGCGAGCUGGGUUUAGAACGUCGUGAGACAGUUCGGUCCCUAUCUGCCGUGGGCGCUGGAGAACUGAGGGGGGCUGCUCCUAGUACGAGAGGACCGGAGUGGACGCAUCACUGGUGUUCGGGUUGUCAUGCCAAUGGCACUGCCCGGUAGCUAAAUGCGGAAGAGAUAAGUGCUGAAAGCAUCUAAGCACGAAACUUGCCCCGAGAUGAGUUCUCCCUGACUCCUUGAGAGUCCUGAAGGAACGUUGAAGACGACGACGUUGAUAGGCCGGGUGUGUAAGCGCAGCGAUGCGUUGAGCUAACCGGUACUAAUGAACCGUGAGGCUUAACCUUACAA
rnacentral:rRNA from 1 species